GUGCACCAGGCGAGAAACUUCACACUGUGCGAAAGCACGAUGAGGGAAUCCCAAGUGCUUGCACGUAAGUGUAAGCUGUUUCUCUGUCUAAAACGCAGAGAGAGUAAGGGCUGGGUAAGACGGGUGCCAGCCGCCGCGGUAAUACCUGCAGCUCAAGUGGUGACCGUUAUUAUUGGGCCUAAAACGUCCGUAGCCGGUUUAAUAAAUGCCUGGGUAAAUUGCGUAGCUUAACUAUACGAAUUCCGGGUAGACUGUUAAACUUGAGACCGGGAGAAGUUAGAGGUACUCCUGGGGUAGAGGUGAAAUUCUGUAAUCCUAGGGGGACCACCAGUGGCGAAGGCGUCUAACUAGAACGGUCGUGACGGUGAGGGACGGAAG
rnacentral:rRNA from 1 species